GAGAGAGAGAGAGAGAGAAUAUAUUGUGCAUGUUUUCAGUAAGAUUGCAUAGUUUUUGAUAAGGGAAUAACAGUGUUUACUGUCUCUGAUGAAUUUUAAUUGUUCUUCAUGUUGACAUGAUUAGUGAGAUUAUGGUUCAUAGUUGAUUCUGACCAAGAAGUCCCAUUCAAAUUUUUAUUGGCAGGAUUUUUUUAUCUAUUGCUGUGCCUAUGAACUAUUAAAUUGCUUAGUCAAGUCAAAAGGAAAUUGAGACGUUGAUACACUAGUAUGGGAACUUUGUUUGCUUUUAUUUAGUACCUUUGGCAAUUAGAUACAUCAAUUAGAAGUUUUUGUGGCAGGUGGGAAUGGGAGUCUAAGGAUGGCAAUGGGUAGGGUACUAACCUGCGAAAAUCACCCUAUCCAAACCCGAUUAAUAUUUUCAAAACCCGAAUCCCUCCAAAACCCGAUUAAAAUUUAUUGUCGACUACUCGAACUCAUCCCAAAUCUGAUUAUUAUUACUCAAAAAAUACUCAAAUCCGUUUAAUUUGAU
rnacentral:misc_RNA from 1 species